rnacentral:rRNA from 1 species
AGGACGAACGCUGGCGGCGCGCUUAACACAUGCAAGUCGAACGUGAAGCUGGAGCUUGCUCCGGUGGAAAGUGGCGAACGGGUGCGUAACACGUGAGCAACCUGCCCCGAAGACUGGGAUAACACCGGGAAACCGGUGCUAAUACCGGAUACCUUCUUCCGAUCGCAUGGUUGGAUGAAGAAUGGAUUCCGCUUCGGGAUGGGCUCGGCGGCCUAUCAGUCUUGGUUGGUGAGGUAACCGCCCACGAAGGCGACGACGGGUAGCUGGUCUGAGAGGACGACCAGCCACGACGUGGGACUGGAGACCGACCGGCCCAGACUCCGUACGGGA